rnacentral:rRNA from 1 species
AUGGGAGGGCUGGGCAUUAUUGAUCUUCACAAACACGGCAUUGCUCUAAGGUUGAGGUGGGAAUGGCUCAGACGCACGGACCCUUCCAGGCCGUGGCAAGGGCUCUGCUUGGCUGCGGACAAAUCGGCUGUGCAGGCGUUCAGUAGUUUGGUGAAAUGGAGAGUUGGUGCUGGGGACAAAACCUUGUUCUGGAAGGAUAGAUGGAUCCAGGGUGCUACCAUUGCAGAGGUCGCUCCAUUGGUGGCAAAGUCUGUUCGUACGCAAGUGGCCAACAGGAGACGUGUUCGAGAGGCACUUGACAUGCACUCAUGGAUGAAUGAUGUGGUCGGCGACUUGUGUACGGAAGGCCUUACCCAAUUUAUAGGCCUUUGGGAGAUCCUUGAGGAGGUGCAUCUGGAUGAGCAGUCCGAGGACAGUCCCAUUUGGGCUUGGAAUGCGUCGGGGACUUACUCCGCAUCCUCUGCAUACAAGAUGCUAUGUGAGGGAGGAGUUAGAUUCCACUCCUUUGGAGCUAUUUGGAAGUGA